AGACAGGCAGUCACAAGCCUGGGGACUGCAGGCACAGUGAGGAAGGUAGGGAAGGGUCUCUCCAAGACAGGCCCACCAGGAGCCCCCACUGGGAAUAAUGCAGCCCCUCUCAGGGGAUGGAGUGUCUGGAAUUCCAUGGCUGAGGUGCAACAGGUGACUGAAGGUUUGAGGAGGCAACGCUGCCACUCACAGUCAGAAGCAGAGGGGAUGAGAUGGCCAGAUGUGAUUGGAAUCAGACACAGUGAGGUUUGAAUCCUCACUCUGUCCUUUUUGUUGUGUGGCCUGUGUGACAGGUCCCACAGCCUCUCCAGCCUCUGUGGGAAGAAGGAUCAUCUGAUGCCUAUGUAAUAGAGUUGCUGAAGGAGUGGAAGCAGCUUUGACAUUAUCAGUGGAACCCACCAGUGCAGACUGCUUCACCAAGGGCACCUGAGGCAGCAGAUCUGAGGAUUAGGGACGUAGGGAGCUGAAGCCUGGCUGGAGAGGUGGUGCGCACAAGAACCCCCACAUUCCCCGACAGGAGCCUGAAAAAGCAAGACGCCAUGUUGGGAGGACACGGAAGCAGUUCUAGGGAGAGGAGCACAUGGCAAGAAGCCAAGGCCUCCUGCCCACAGCCGAUACCCUGUGAUUGCCAGCAAGUAAACCAGAUGCAAUUGUGGUUUCCGUGAAGCACAGCUGGAAAACUGCUGCCCCCACGGAGGAAGAGGAAGAUGGGAAGAUGGUGGUUACUGCACACCAGGCACCAGCCUCGGGGCUAUGAGCUGUACAAACAUUACCCAUUUUAUCCUCGUGACCAUGUUCUGAGAAGGCUGUCAAUGAUCUCACUUUAUACAUGGGGAAAUUCAUGCAGACAGAGGCUGACUAAAUUGCCAUGGUCACUCAGCUAGUAGGAACUGGAGCUGUAACUUGAACCCGGGUCUUUUGUUUCUGUGGCUCCUGGUAGCACAUGCCGGGCUUGAAGUGAGAUCCGGAGGAUGUUGGAAACAACGUGUUCCCCAUCAUGAAAGUCCUUAUGAUACCUUAUGAUGCAGAGUUGGCAGCCAGGAGCAGGGGCUUCCAGAAGCAUGGCUGACCCUUGUUGGGAUCUCGCUCCUGUGAGCCUUGGAACGUCUAGGGAGAAAGAGCAGCCAAAUUUAGAGCUGCAGGAGCUUUGAGAUGCAGCUCAGGCAUCAUCUCUGGGAAGUCUUUCCUGGAACCACAGCCUGGGCCCUGUACCUGAUUCCCAGCCCCUGUGGCUCUUUUUGCAUUUGCUGCCUCUUUUCACAAUUCUGUCUCCUUAUGUCUUCCACUCUACACGCAAGCCCCUUGAGGGCAGGACCAUGACUCAGUCAUCCUGUACCCUAGCACCCACCCUGGGUCUGCAUCUGGAAGGAGCUCACUAAGUGAUUAUUGAGCCAAACUGAACUGUAGCAGGAGUGAGCAAAGCUAAUUCAUGGGUGCAGAAUGGGAGCACAGAGCUGCCAGAAUCCAGAGACAACUGUAACUGUCCCGGCACAGGGGGCUUCAGGCCGCGGUGAGAGCCACUGAAAGCAAGAGAGCCAGGUGGUGGCUCAGUUCACACUGAGUCCUGCUGAAGAAAUAGGCACAUCGUGUGUGUUAAAAUCAGCACCCCAUGCACCUGUAGGAAGAGACUGAGGCACCCUGGAGGCCCCUCCCAAUAAUUAAAAGGCCCUCUGGGGCCUGUGGGAGCCCUAGCUGAUGAAAUCACAAAGGCCUCAGCCUCUAAAGUGUUUCCAGUAAAAUGCUACCAGGAUUUUCCUCCCUUAAAUCUGGAUGAAAGGGCUGUCUGUGCUACAAAGUGCACACCUGGCGUUGAUACGCAGUCUCUUGCUGCCUGUUAACUAACCCACCAGCCGACAAGUUCUGCCCACUGGCAGGAGCAAGGACUUAUAAAAAAUAGUGCCUCCCUCCCAAGGGCUUAUGAGCUGGUUAAGUGCAGAGGACAAAUAGAAUGAAAGAAAAGGCAAUCUCGGCAUAGUAUUUAGUUAAUUCUUCUCUCUCUCUUGUUCCCUCUCUCUCCUUUCUCUCUUCCUCCCUCCUUUCUAUGACUUGUCCUCUCCACACAACUCCUUUUCCGUUUUCCCUCCCCUGCCUCCCCACCUUCUUUCUUGACUUCCCAUCUUGCUCCCUUUCUUCCUGCCUGCCCAUCUGCUUUCCUUUCUUAUCUCUGGUGCAAAUUCUGCAUAUAGUCGCUCUCCUCAUUUCAUGACAGGCUGUCUUCAUCAGUUUCUGAGUUCUUUUGUUAUUUUAUAAAAUAUUUUACAUGCUGUCCUCAAAAAAUCCCCUCCCCCAGAAAAGGCCCAUUCAAAAGUACUUACUAUACGUCCUUAGAUAGGCAAUGAUCUCUGAAAUAUAUAUAGGCUUGCUCUAUAUGUGUUUUUGUAAGUGUACUUUUCUUUCAUUAAAUAUGCAGAUCUUAAUUGUACAGUUUGAGGUGUUUUGACAAAGGUAUAUACCAGUAAAACCACCACCCCAACCAAGGUACCGAACACUUUCAUCUCUCUGGAAAGUCCCCUUGUGCCACCUUCCAGUCAACUCUCACCCUCCAGAGGCACCCACUGUUCAGAUUUCUACAUGCAUUUUGCCUGUUGCUGAACUGGAACCUCACAGCCUUUUACGUCUGGCUUCUUUCACUUAACAUAAUGUUUUUAAGUCAUCCAUGUAGUUCAUUCUUUUUUUUGUUGCAGAGCAAUAUUCCAUUGUGUGAAUGGAUGUACUUUAUCCAUCAACAGUUGAUGAAGUUGGGUUGGUGGCACUUUUUGGCUAUCGUGGGUAAUGCUGCUCUGGAUGUUUCUGCACAAGUCUUUAUUGUGGACAUGGGUUUCCAUUUCUUCUGGGCAAAUGCCCAGGAACAGAAUUGCUGAUUCAUUAGGAAGUUAUAUGUUUAACUUCAUAAGAAACUGGAAAACCGCACUCCACAGUGUUCAUGCUAUUGCACAUUGCCCCCAGUGCCAUGUGAAUGUUUCAUUCUUGGGGUCUAGAAUAUCUUACUGCAGUUUUAAUUGGAAGUUCUCUGAUGACUUUUGAUAGAGUAUCUUUUCAUGUGCUUAUUGGUUAUUUAUUUCUUCUUUAAAGAAGAGUCUAGAUCCUUUUCCCAUUUAAAAUUGCAUUGCUUCUAUUUUUACUGUUGAUUCUUAGAAGUUCUUUACAUAUUUUAGAUUUAUAUACAGUAAAUAUUUUCUCCCAGUCCAUGGCUUGCCUUUACCUUUUCUUAAUGGUGUCUUUUGAUUAACCAGACAUUUUAAAUUUUCAUGAAGCCUAUUGUAUCGGGGGUUGUUUUUGUUUGUUCAUUUAUGGUUAGUACUCUUUUUGGUGCUAGCCAGGAAAACUUUGCCUACAUUCUCCUAAGCUCAUGAAUAUAUUUUUCUAUAUUUGUUUCUAGGACAUUUAUAAUUCAAACUUUUAUGUUCUAGCCUAUCACUCAUGUAUAGUUAUGUAUAGUAUAAAUAAGGAUUGAAGUUCAUUUUUCUUUCCAUAUACUUAUCCAGUUAUUCCAGCACCAUUUGUUGAAAACACUUUCUUUCCCUCAUUGAAUUUCCUUGAAGCUUGUGCUCAUAACUUAUAUAACGAGUAUUGCGUUACAAUUUCCAUUAUAUUUCUUAAUUUUUCACUUAACACAAUGUUUAUAUGAUCUAUCCGCAAUGCUGUAUUCAGUCAUUUGAAUUCACUCAUUCAUUUUAUCAUUCAAUAAAUCUGCAGUGGUGAAGAAAACA
rnacentral:lncRNA from 1 species